GCCAAUGAUGAUUUUGUCUGCAAAAUGUAUGCUCUGUGGACUCAAGCCCCUGUUUCAGGGAGAACCUCUUGAGGAAGCAGAUAUAAUAUGCCAUCAACCGACAAAUCUGAGGC
rfam:Brachypodium distachyon strain Bd21 chromosome 5, whole genome shotgun sequence.